UACGAAGGGGGCUAGCGUUGCUCGGAAUCACUGGGCGUAAAGGGUGCGUAGGCGGGUCUUUUAAGUCAGGGGUGAAAUCCUGGAGCUCAACUCCAGAACUGCCUUUGAUACUGAAGAUCUUGAGUUCGGGAGAGGUGAGUGGAAACUGCGAGUGUAGAGGUGAAAAUUCGUAGAUAUUCGCAAAGAACACCCAGUGGCGAAGGCGGCUCACUGGACUGGGUAC
rnacentral:rRNA from 1 species